rnacentral:misc_RNA from 1 species
CCUGCAUACACCGCCAUCAGAACUUCGUUCUUCUUCACGAUGCGCUCGCCUCUGGCCGGCUUCUCUUGCAUACCGACGCCCUUUCCCUCUCGGCGCCCGGACGAGCUCCCCAUGGCGCGACCCUCCCAUCUCCUCCAGCUCGGCCGCGCCUGCUCCCUACGCCCGUCCGGCCGCGCUCUGCCUCGCCACAGCCGCUCGACUCCUCCAUCUUCCUCUCUGCUUCUCUCUCUACCGCUGUUCUGCUGGCCGGCGCCCCAUCUCUCCAUGGCCGUCCCAGCUCCAUGGCCGAGCUCCCUGCGCGCAGCCGCGCACUCCUCUGCUCGGUCCUAUCCUCUGCCGACGCUCCUCCCCUACUGCUCGACUCCUCACCGGCGACAAUGGUCGCGCUCGCCCCAGCUCAGCUUCGGACGUGCGCGCUCCUCUGCUCGCCGUGGUCGACGUCUCUCCAUCUCCCAGCAAGCUGCGCUCCACCUCGCCCUAUCUCGGCACUCCGGCUUCAGCUCGCUAUGGCGCCCAUCUCCCUAGCCCCGCUCGGAUUUUUCCGUUUCUCCUGCAGAUCGCCGUCGCGCCGGUCCCAGCUCGGCCGGCCCUGUUCCCCAUGGUCGCCGGCUGCUCUGCUUCCCCAUGGCGGCUGCUUGACCCCAGCUCCUUGCCGUCGCGCCCCUAUUCCUCCAUGGCCGCGAGCUCCCUCUGCUGUCUGCUUCGCCGCGCGCCAAGCCCCCAGCCGAGGUCUCCUCCCUGCCGAGUCCCAGCCGAACUCCUCCGUACAGCGCCCUGUCGAGGCUUCCCAUUCCUGCGCGCCGUCGCCUUGCUGCUCGCCUUAUGCGCGCGGUCCUCUGCCCCUGCGCGUAGCCGGUUUCUCGGUUCGCCGUGGAGCCUGCGCGCUCGGUUCGGUCCAGUUCGUGUAUUGCUCGCCCGUCCGCGCGGCACGUCAUACAUGGCCGCUAUCUAUCGUCGAGUCCCUUCGCGUUCGUCGAAGCUCCCUGGCUCGACUCUGCUAGUUUGCGUCCAACUCGCCGAUCACAUCUUGGCCGGUCACAUCUUGGCCGGUCGCCAAUUUCCUAUUCGCCAUGGUACAACACCGCUGCUAAAUCCGGUCUCCAACCCGCCAUGGCGUUCAUCGUCCUUUUGCCCCAGUUCGACCCAUUCGUGCGUUCGCUCUUCAUUCAUUGGGUUUCGCGCGUGCUCGCGUUUGCCGUCAAGUCGUCGAACCCAUCAUUCCUUGCUCGACCCCACCUCACCAGCUCGCUCCAAAAACGAUCUCGUCGUCGUUCCGUGCGUCAUCAAGGAAUCCCAAGGAUCGGAUGAAGAUAAAGCUAACAGCGUAAUAUUCCCCAAGUAUUUGAUUCAGGAGCUGCAUCAGAAUCCUUGCCGUGUUCGCGGAUAGCGCGUCAGAUUUAGAAUGGUACGAUAAUUAAUCGUGUGAUGCGGAAGACGAGCCAAGUCGACCCCAAGCGCGGGCUAAUCCGCGUGGUGGUGCAGAUGAACAAACAUGAAGAAGGGCAGACUGAGCAAGUAUCGGAACAAAGGCUGAUCGUCAGGUGGACGUCGUCUAACAAACACUAACGUAGUGUUUCUUCCAGGUUUAGUUUUGUGCUGCUGAUGAUGGUGUUUAAGUGCCGGUGGGCUCGGCCUUCUUAUAAGUCUAAGUACUUCUUCUAUACUUCUUAAUGAGGAUGGUCACUUGAGCUAGCAUAUAUUUCAAACUUAUAAUUUUGUAAUCACUCCGAUAAAAUAAUGUAAAAUUUUUGUAACCUGGAAAAUUUGGUAGUAAGAUUUCCGCUGCAACAAUAUUGGUGUGUGUGAUUUGUGUUACUUAAUCCCGCGGUUCUGGUUGUAAGUGGUUUAUCCGGUGUCCUUGGGGCAAUCGGACGGAUCCUGUUAAGUUAUCUGGUGCACAUGCAUGGCCGUC